CUGCUGGGUACACUGUGAUUCGGGCGAGCGGAGGAUGGGAGCUUGCUCCCGGAUGUUAGCGGCGGACGGGUGAGUAACACGUGGGUAACCUGCCUGUAAGACUGGGAUAACUCCGGGAAACCGGAGCUAAUACCGGAUAGUUCCUUGAACCGCAUGGUUCAAGGAUGAAAGACGGUUUCGGCUGUCACUUACAGAUGGACCCGCGGCGCAUUAGCUAGUUGGUGAGGUAACGGCUCACCAAGGCGACGAUGCGUAGCCGACCUGAGAGGGUGAUCGGCCACACUGGGACUGAGACACGGCCCAGACUCCUACGGGAGGCAGCAGUAGGGAAUCUUCCGCAAUGGACGAAAGUCUGACGGAGCAACGCCGCGUGAGUGAUGAAGGUUUUCGGAUCGUAAAGCUCUGUUGUUAGGGAAGAACAAGUGCAAGAGUAACUGCUUGCACCUUGACGGUACCUAACCAGAAAGCCACGGCUAACUACGUGCCAGCAGCCGCGGUAAUACGUAGGUGGCAAGCGUUGUCCGGAAUUAUUGGGCGUAAAGGGCUCGCAGGCGGUUUCUUAAGUCUGAUGUGAAAGCCCCCGGCUCAACCGGGGAGGGUCAUUGGAAACUGGGAAACUUGAGUGCAGAAGAGGAGAGUGGAAUUCCACGUGUAGCGGUGAAAUGCGUAGAGAUGUGGAGGAACACCAGUGGCGAAGGCGACUCUCUGGUCUGUAACUGACGCUGAGGAGCGAAAGCGUGGGGAGCGAACAGGAUUAGAUACCCUGGUAGUCCACGCCGUAAACGAUGAGUGCUAAGUGUUAGGGGGUUUCCGCCCCUUAGUGCUGCAGCUAACGCAUUAAGCACUCCGCCUGGGGAGUACGGUCGCAAGACUGAAACUCAAAGGAAUUGACGGGGGCCCGCACAAGCGGUGGAGCAUGUGGUUUAAUUUCGAAGCAACGCGAAGAACCUUACCAGGUCUUGACAUCCUCUGACAACCCUAG
rnacentral:rRNA from 2 species